GAUGAACGCUGGCGGCGUGCCUAAUACAUGCAAGUCGAGCGAACAGACGAGGAGCUUGCUCCUCUGACGUUAGCGGCGGACGGGUGAGUAACACGUGGAUAACCUACCUAUAAGACUGGGAUAACUUCGGGAAACCGGAGCUAAUACCGGAUAAUAUAUUGAACCGCAUGGUUCAAUAGUGAAAGACGGUUUUGCUGUCACUUAUAGAUGGAUCCGCGCCGCAUUAGCUAGUUGGUAAGGUAACGGCUUACCAAGGCGACGAUGCGUAGCCGACCUGAGAGGGUGAGCGGCCACACUGGAACUGAGACACGGUCCAGACUCCUACGGGAGGCAGCAGUAGGGAAUCUUCCGCAAUGGGCGAAAGCCUGACGGAGCAACGCCGCGGGAGUGAUGAAGGUCUUCGGAUCGUAAAACUCUGUUAUUAGGGAAGAACAAAUGUGUAAGUAACUAUGCACGUCUUGACGGUACCUAAUCAGAAAGCCACGGCUAACUACGUG
rnacentral:rRNA from 1 species